rnacentral:rRNA from 1 species
GACGAACGCUGGCGGCGUGCUUAACACAUGCAAGUCGAGCGGUAAGGCCCUUUUGGGGGUACACGAGCGGCGAACGGGUGAGUAACACGUGGGUGACCUGCCCUCAGCUCUGGGAUAAGCCUGGGAAACUGGGUCUAAUACUGGAUAUGACCUUUCCUCGCAUGGGGUUGGGUGGAAAGUUUUUCGGCUGGGGAUGGGCCCGCGGCCUAUCAGCUUGUUGGUGGGGUGAUGGCCUACCAAGGCGACGACGGGUAGCCGGCCUGAGAGGGCGGCCGGCCACACUGGGACUGAGACACGGCCCAGACUCCUACGGGAGGCAGCAGUGGGGAAUAUUGCGCAAUGGGCGGAAGCCUGACGCAGCGACGCCGCGUGGGGGAUGACGGCCUCGGUUGUAAC